rnacentral:rRNA from 1 species
AUGUCUGGCCGCGUCGGCGAAAGCAGCAGCCGCCGCCGCCGCACCGCGGCGAAGCCCCCGCGCUACGACCGCAGCAUCACCGUCUUCUCCCCCGAGGGCCGCGUCUUCCAAGUCGACUACGCCCGCAACUCCGUGAAGCUGGAGGGGAUCACCUCCGUCGCCGUGCGCGGCGCCGACUCCGUCUGCGUCAUCACCCAGCGGACCAAGGCACCGGCGGACCCGUUGCUGGACACAGCGGACCCCGCCUUCAUGCACCUGUUCCAGAUCACCGAGCGGCUUGGUAUGCUGGCCACGGGGAUGCCAGCUGACGGGAGAGCAUUAGCUCAGCAGGCAAGGAACGAAGCUGCAGGGUUCCGUCACAAGUGGGGAUAUGAAAUGCCUCCUAAGAUGUUGGCGCAAUGGUUGGGAGACAGAGCACAAGUUCGCACCCAGCAUGCUGGCAUGAGACCUUACAGAGUUGUUGCUACGGUCGUGGGAAUUGAUGAAGAGAAAGGAACUCCAGAGCUCUUUACAUGUGAUCCUGCUGGACAAGUCCUUGGCCACAAGGCAACCAGCGUAGGUCUCAAGGACCAGGAAGCUAUCGAGUUUCUCGAGGAAGCAAUGGCGGGCAAUUCUUCUUUAUCAUUCCAGGAAACCAUGGAGAUGGCAGUGUCUGCACUGCGACACGUCCUGGAGGAUAAUAGCCAAGGCCAUGACAUCGAGGUGGGAGUUGUCAGGAAGAAUUAUCCGAUCUUCAGAACGGUGUUGAGGCGCAUCUACAAAAAUCCGCUUGCAGGGCAGAGCAUCCUGGAUGGAGAAGGCCAGUAA